rnacentral:tRNA from 1 species
CAGGGAGCAGUUUAGGCAGAAUAUUGGCUUUGGGGGCCAAUGGCGGGAGUUUAACCCUCCUUUCCCUGA